CACGUAGGGUGCGAGCGUUGUCCGGAAUUAUUGGGCGUAAAGAGCUCGUAGGCGGUGUGUCACGUCGGCCGUGAAAACCUGCAGCUUAACUGUGGGCGUGCGGUCGAUACGGGCAUCACUGGAGUUCGGCAGGGGAGACUGGAAUUCCUGGUGUAGCGGUGAAAUGCGCAGAUAUCAGGAGGAACACCGGUGGCGAAGGCGGGUCUCUGGGCCGAUACUGACGCUGAGGAGCGAAAGCUAGGGGAGCAAACGGG
rnacentral:rRNA from 1 species